UGCCAUAGCCACAUUACCCUACAGCUCAAGACUGGUUAUUCACUGAAGCUAAGCAGGGCUGACUCUGGUCAGUACCUGGAUGGGAAACCACAUGGGAAAACUAGGUUGAUGUUGAAA
ensembl:rRNA 5S_rRNA 5S ribosomal RNA